AAGAGUGGCAAUUUACUAAAUUGCUUUGUUCCUGUUCGAGAUUUUCUAUUAAGGGAUUGUCUGUCCAGCCGGGCUCACGGCCGAAAACAUCUCAAAGUUCCCCAGACUCACUGAGAGGCUCUACGUUGGUGCUGGACUCCAGUCGGGAGGCAUCCUUGGGGAAACUACAGUCCCAGCCAUCAACUUCUACCUGCUCCCCUUCACCUGUGACAGCAAGAAGAGAGGCGGUGAAACUGGAGGCAGGGACUGCGGAGAGGUGACAGUGUCAGAGCCCAGAGCAGAAUCUGGUGUCUGCGGUGCCACAGAAGAUGCGGUUUCAAGGUCCAGGGCCUCGGAAUCGUGGAGGGAAGUCGGAGAGGGAAGAGGUCCAGAUCACAGCCAUGAACAUCAAAGCUGUUUAUAGAAGAGCCAAAAGGAUGGACCACACAGCCUAGGAACCAAAGGAUACAGGUCAAAAGACAGUAGGGGGCCAGCAAGAUGGCUCAGAAGGUAAAG